AUGCCGGCGCUGGACGCGUGCGUGCUCUGCGCCAAGCGGCUGGCGCGCGACAGCGACGUCUUCAUGUACAGAGGGGACACACCCUUCUGUAGCAAGGAGUGCCGGCACGAGCAGUUGCAGCUCGACGCUGUCUCCGCCAGGCAGGCAGCCCGGAGGCUGCAGAGGUUCUCGGCCGGAGCAGAGUCCGGGCGUGCACACCAUGGGGUGUCCGUCUCGAGCUAA
rnacentral:rRNA from 1 species